GGUCAAGGGAGCCCGUGAAGAAAGAGCAAGCAAUCAGGCUCUGGGACUAGCUGCAGGAAAAAAUAUUUAUCUUGGCACGAGGGGAAACACGAAGGAGGCACAGUGUUCCCAGAACCCAGCAAGGGCUUACAACUGGGAAGGGGACUUCCCAGGAGGAGGACACAGUAGCAGUCUCUUUCUUCUCAACGCCCACAAGGGCUGAGGCUGCCAUGUGAAGAGAAGAAAUGACAAUGUACACCUGUAAGGAAUCUGUGCAAUACCACAGGCAUUGGAGACACAGUACCGGAAACAAGCUUGAAGAAUUUCCAACCCAUUGCUAACUUACUCUUCAAGUGAAUGUGUGUAGUGAGCCCAGCAGUACGUUUCAGCCCCAAUGUCUUCUGUCCCCUAGUGGAACUGGAAACAUCAGCUUUGUAUUAAGACAUGUUACAUGGUCUACAAAACUGACUUGGAACGAGGCAACAUCACUUGGGAUUCUGUUUUGGGAACAAAAGUGAGAAGGUCAAAAGAAAAAGCUAGACUCUGGCAGA